rnacentral:hammerhead_ribozyme from 1 species
AUCCAGCCGACGAGUCCCAAAAGGACGAAACGCGCGUCCUGGAU